rnacentral:rRNA from 1 species
UUGGAGGGCAAGUCUGGUGCCAUCAGCCGCGGUAAUUCCAGCUCCAAUAGCGUAUAUUAAAGUUGUUGCAGUUAAAAAGCUCGUAGUUGAACUUCGGGGUUUACCCAUUGGUCAGGCUUAAUUGUCUGUACUGGUGAGAUGAAUCUCUACCUUCUGAGGAACUUUCAUGCCAUUUAUUUGGUGUGAUGGGAAAUCAGGACUGUUACUUUGAAAAAAUUAGAGUGUUUAAAGCAGGCUAACGUCUGAAUACAUUAGCAUGGAAUAAUGAAAUAGGACGGACUGAUUCUAUUUCGUUGGUUUCUAGGAUCACCGUAAUGAUUAAUAGGGAUAGUUGGGGGCAUUAGUAUUCAAUUGUCAGAGGUGAAAUUCUUGGAUUUAUUGAAGACUAACUACUGCGAAAGCAUUCGCCAAGGAUGUUUUCAUUAAUCAAGAACGAAAGUUAGGGGAUCGAAGACGAUCAGAUACCGUCGUAGUCUUAACCAUAAACUAUGCCGACUAGGGAUCGGACGAAGUUAAUUUUAUAAUGACGCGUUCGGCACUUACGGGAAAC